GCACUAGUAGCUCAGUGUCCAGAGCGUCG
rnacentral:tRNA from 1 species